rnacentral:rRNA from 1 species
CUACGUGCCAGCAGCCGCGGUAAUACGUAGGUGGCAAGCGUUGUCCGGAAUUAUUGGGCGUAAAGCGCGCGCAGGCGGAUCAGUUAGUCUGUCUUAAAAGUUCGGGGCUUAACCCCGUGAUGGGAUGGAAACUGCUGAUCUAGAGUAUCGGAGAGGAAAGUGGAAUUCCUAGUGUAGCGGUGAAAUGCGUAGAUAUUAGGAAGAACACCAGUGGCGAAGGCGACUUUCUGGACGAAAACUGACGCUGAGGCGCGAAAGCCAGGGGAGCGAACGGGAUUAGAUACCCCGGUAGUCCUGGCCGUAAACGAUGGGUACUAGGUGUAGGAGGUAUCGACCCCUUCUGUGCCGGAGUUAACGCAAUAAGUACCCCGCCUGGGGAGUACGACCGCAAGGUUGAAACUCAAAGGAAUUGACGGGGGCCCGCACAAGCGGUGGAGCAUGUGGUUUAAUUCGACGCAACGCGAGGAACCUUACCAGCGUUUGACA